GACGAACGCUGGCGGCGUGCUUAACACAUGCAAGUCGAACGGAAAGGCCCUGCUUUUGUGGGGUGCUCGAGUGGCGAACGGGUGAGUAACACGUGAGUAACCUGCCCUUGACUUUGGGAUAACUUCAGGAAACUGGGGCUAAUACCGGAUAGGAGCUCCUGCUGCAUGGUGGGGGUUGGAAAGUUUCGGCGGUUGGGGAUGGACUCGCGGCUUAUCAGCUUGUUGGGGGGGUAGUGGCUUACCAAGGCUUUGACGGGUAGCCGGCCUGAGAGGGUGACCGGCCACAUUGGGAGUGGGAUACGGCCCAGACGCCUACGGGAGGCAGCAGGGGGGAAUAUUGCACAAUGGGCGGAAGCCUGAUGCAGCAACGCCGCGUGCGGGAUGACGGCCUUCGGGUUGUAAACCGCUUUCGCCUGUGACGAAGCGUGAGUGACGGUAAUGGGUAAAGAAGCACCGGCUAACUACGUG
rnacentral:rRNA from 1 species